rnacentral:rRNA from 1 species
AACGAACGCUGGCGGCAUGCCUAACACAUGCAAGUCGAACGAGACCUUCGGGUCUAGUGGCGCACGGGUGCGUAACGCGUGGGAAUCUGCCCUGAUGACCGGGACAACCCGAGGAAACUCGGGCUAAUACCGGAUGUGCUCCCACCACACCAGUGGUGUGAGUAAAGGUAGCUUCGGCCUCCGCAUCGGGAUGGGCCCGCGGCGCAUUAGCUUGUUGGUGGGGUAAAGGCCUACCAAGGCAACGAUGCGUAGCUGGUCUGAGAGGACGAUCAGCCAGACUGGGACUGGGACACGGCCCAGACUCCUACGGGAGGCAGCAGUUAGGAAUUUUGGGCAAUGGCCGCAAGGCUGACCCAGCAACGCCGCGU